GAGAGACUCCAACACUGAUGAAGACAUGCGGCAGUUUGGAAGGCUUCGAUACAAUUGCAACUGGUUGGACAGCCUGCAAUUCACAGCACCCUCAGCUGCGUGUGAAACAAGACUUGGGCACAUUGAGGAGGAUGACAAGGUGAUAAUGGAGAUGCUUUUCUUUGAUGUGACUGGACCACUUCAACCAGACUGUUAAGACUGAGUGGCAUCACAGGUAACAACCAUAUAUGCUCCAGUCAGAGGUGCAGGGCAUUAAAACAAAAUCAUUUUAGUUCAUCAAUCUGGUCUGUGGUCAGAGGUCGACAGUUACACCAAACACACAGCAAAACACAAAGACUUCAUCAUUAUUCCACGUCCAAUGUCAUCACAUUGAUGGAGCAUUUUGAAAUAUGUCACCUAUGCAUGUGUGCAUGAAGACUAGCUCUGUCUGACUGAAUGAUCUGACCAAUUUAUGAAGCUGUUGUUUGUGUUAGCAAAGCUUUUGCGUUUGCUAGCUGAGUGGGUACCUGUGACACGUGAGCUGCAUGCUGGUUAUUUUCUCAACAGGGCAGGAAGUGUUCUGCAUUUCAUCCAUGGCCACUGUGUGUUUGUUAACACGUGAAGCCAUCUGGUAUAAAUGGAUGUGUUUGAAUGUGUUCUUCAUGUCAGUGUGUUGAUUUGCUGAGCUGCAUCAUGGAAUCAAAACAUACACUACAUGCUAUUGUAAGGCUAUCUAUUUGGAAACUAUAUUUAAUUAUACUAAUGCAAUGCACUCAUUUAUCACCAUUCAGAUUAUCCAGUCCAUGACUGUGUCUACCAGUAUUCUUAGCUGACAGACUUUCUUCCCUCUUCCUUCAUGAACUGAAUGUCUUGUGUCCGACUCACUAAAAUUGGUUCAAAACUCUGGGAGAGGUCAGGUCCCAGAUCACUGAGCUCUUCCCCCUGUGAAUAACCCUGCCCUGCGGCUAGAGUUCAUUCAGUCCUGUAUAAAUAUUCUGCUCUCUUGCCUUACACUUUCAUUUCAGAAAUAUCCACGGACCAUCUCUGUCUAAGUGAGGACCGUCAUUGACGCAAUGCUUUCCCCAGCCUCCCACCCUCAAACUACUUUAAACAAAUGGCUGAACUUAAACCAUUUACAACAGCCUAACAAUUUAGUAGUUUUAACCUUCAAAAUGAGGCUCAACAAAGUGAGGACCUGCCAAAAUAUCCUCACUUCACAAAAAUGUCCUCACUUUGUGAUUAAAGAUAGAAGUCCAAGAACACCCCCACACACUUGACAAUUUACAUUCCACAUUUACAACUGAUCUCUGGCUUUCUUUCACAGGUAGGUUUUUGGAUCACAUCCAGAAGAUGGACGACGCGGCAUUUGGUUGGUACGCUUUUCCCAUGACCCUUGGUGCAGUGCUGCAUCUCUGGUCAGUUGGUAGUCUGAGAUGAAGCACUGUAGCUCGGGACAUGGGGCUCACAUCGCAGUCUUCCAGCCUGAGGAAAAUGACAGCGGCAGAUUUCCCGCCCCUCCCCUCCCCUCCCCUCCCCUGGGGUCCAGUUUUCCCAGGAAUCCCUUCACCAUUCAGAAAAGGGGGAUUCCUGGAAAUACUGUUCUUAGGGUCGGGGUUGAGCUGCACUAGGUUUCUUUUGUACUACCCUUCAACUGUGUUAGUCAGAUUUAGAAUUUUGUGUGGGGCUGCUGAACCACAGAUGUGCCACACGUCUGAGUAUAAAGUAUUGAUACACCACUAUUACAGUCAGCAAUGGCAUCUUUUCUGGUUUGCAACAUGGUGAAUCAGGUGAGGCACAGGUGCAUGAAGCCAACUUCACUGAAGUACUUGUCUUCUUCACAAGACAGCCCCUCAUGAAAAAAUAAUUAAUGGUGAAUGAGCAUUGAAAAACAAUGACUGCUGAAGAACAACCUCAGGGCAGAAGUGUGAACAAUCUCAGAACAGAGAUUUAGCAGUCCUCACUCUUCACUUGUCCUGACAGCUGCAUGGUCUAACUUGAAUGUUUUCCUCCAGACAGCUCUUUAUGGACUUCAAUAUCCUCA